rnacentral:rRNA from 1 species
GCUGGCGGCAGGCCUAAGACAUGCAAGUCGAACGGUAACGACACUAGCUUGCUAGUGGGCGACGAGUGGCGGACGGGUGAGUAACGCGUAGGAAUCUACCUAGUAGUGGGGGAUAGCCAAGGGAAACUUUGGGUAAUACCGCAUACGAUCUAAGGAUGAAAGGGGGCCUCUCUUUGAAGCUCUCGCUAUGAGAUGAGCCUGCGUAAGAUUAGCUUGUUGGUGAGGUAAUUGCUCACCAAGGCAACGAUCUUUAGCUGGUCUGAGAGGAUGAUCAGUCACACUGGAACUGAGACACGGUCCAGACUCCUACGGGAGGCAGCAGUCGGGAAUAUUGGACAAUGGGGGAAACCCUGAUCCAGCCAUGCCGCGUGUGUGAAGAAGGCCCUAGGGUUGUAAAGCACUUUUAGUAGUGAGGAAGGCUCAGUAGUUAAUACCUGCUGAGAUUGACGUUAGCUACAGAAAAAGCACCGGCUAAUUUCGUGCCAGCAGCCGCGGUAAUACGAAAGGUGCAAGCGUUAAUCGGAAUUACUGGGCGUAAAGCGCGCGUAGGCGGCUUGGUAAGUUGGAUGUGAAAGCCCCGGGCUCAACCUGGGAACUGCAUCCAAAACUGCCUAGCUAGAGUAUGGUAGAGGAUGGCGGAAUUUCCUGUGUAGCGGUGAAAUGCGUAGAUAUAGGAAGGAACAUCAGUGGCGAAGGCGGCCAUCUGGACCAAUACUGACGCUGAGGUGCGAAAGCGUGGGGAGCAAACAGGAUUAGAUACCCUGGUAGUCCACGCCGUAAACGAUGAGAACUAGCCGUUGGACAUCUUGCAUGUUUAGUGGCGCAGCUAACGCGAUAAGUUC